rnacentral:rRNA from 1 species
CACGUAGGGGACGAGCGUUGUCCGGAUUCAUUGGGCGUAAAGCGCGCGUAGGCGGCUCGGAAAGUCGGGCGUGAAAUGCCGGGGCUCAACCCCGGGACUGCGUCCGAUACUUCCGAGCUGGAGGUAGGUAGGGGAGAUCGGAAUUCCCGGUGUAGCGGUGAAAUGCGCAGAUAUCGGGAAGAACACCUAUGGCGAAGGCAGCUCUCUGGGACGGUACUGACGGCUGAGACGCGAAAGCGUGGGGAGCGAACAGG